GUACAUGCUUACAACAGAGCGUUAAUGCGUCAGAUCUCAUUAGCAUUCCACAGUUAAGCACACAUGAGCUAGAUUAGUACUAGGAUGGGUGACCGCUUGGGAAGUCGUUGUAUUUUACAUU
rnacentral:rRNA from 1 species